rnacentral:rRNA from 1 species
UACGGAGGGAGCUAGCGUUGUUCGGAAUUACUGGGCGUAAAGCGCACGUAGGCGGCUAUUUAAGUCAGAGGUGAAAGCCUGGAGCUCAACUCCAGAACUGCCUUUGAAACUGCAGUGCUAGAAUCCUGGAGAGGCGAGUGGAAUUCCGAGUGUAGAGGUGAAAUUCGUAGAUAUUGGAAAGAACACCAGUGGCGAAGGCGGCUACCUGGGCCGAUAUUGACGCUGAGACGCGAAAGCGUGGGGAGCAAACAGG